rnacentral:rRNA from 1 species
UACGGGGGGGGCAAGCGUUGUUCGGAAUUACUGGGCGUAAAGGCUUGUAGGUGGCCAACUAAGUCAGACGUGAAAUCCCUCGGCUUAACCGGGGAACUGCGUCUGAUACUGGAUGGCUUGAGUUUGGGAGAGGGAUGCGGAAUUCCAGGUGUAGCGGUGAAAUGCGUAGAUAUCUGGAGGAACACCGGUGGCGAAGGCGGCAUCCUGGACCAACACUGACACUGAAAAGCGAAAGCCAGGGGAGCAAACGGG